AGCCUUAGAAGCUGCACCAAAGCACUGGUCUUGUAAACCAGAGGUAGGGGAAUCCCCCUAAGGCUA
rnacentral:tRNA from 1 species